CACGUAGGGGGCGAGCGUUGUCCGGAAUCAUUGGGCGUAAAGAGCUCGUAGGCGGCUCAGUAAGUCGGGUGUGAAACCUCCAGGCUCAACCUGGAGACGCCACCCGAUACUGCUGUGGCUAGAGUCCAGUAGGGGAGUGUGGAAUUCCCGGUGUAGCGGUGAAAUGCGCAGAUAUCGGGAGGAACACCAGCGGCGAAGGCGGCACUCUGGGCUGGUACUGACGCUGAGGAGCGAAAGCGUGGGUAGCAAACAGG
rnacentral:rRNA from 1 species